AUGGAGUCAAAGGUAAAGACCAACCCCAAGGUAUGUACUAACGGUUUAAUCACACCUGUAGAACAAGGUUCUAAGAGUUCCCGGAGUCUACUUUCCUCCUUCAGAUAUUACCAACGUUUUGAUUACUCAAUAAUCAGCAAUAUUCUCAAGAGAAACUCAUCCGUGCAUAGCAUCGCGUAA